rnacentral:rRNA from 1 species
GACGAACGCUGGCGGCGUGCUUAACACAUGCAAGUCGAACGGAAAGGCCCUGCUUUCGUGGGGUGCUCGAGUGGCGAACGGGUGAGUAACACGUGAGUAACCUGCCCUUGACUUUGGGAUAACUUCAGGAAACUGGGGCUAAUCCCGGAUAGGAGCUCCUGCUGCAUGGUGGGGGGUGGAAAGUUUCGGCGGUCGGGGAUGGACUCGCGGCUUAUCAGCUAGUUGGUGGGGGAGUGGCUUACCAAGGCUGUGACGGGUAGCCGGCCUGAGAGGGGGGCCGGGCACCUGACUCCUGCGAUACGGCCCAGACUCGUACGGUAGACAGUGGUGGGAAGCCUGGCCCAAUCGGCGGGAGCCGGAUACGGCAGCGCUCCGUUCGGGAUGACGGCCUGCGGGUUGUAAACCGCUUUCGGCUAUGACGCAGCGUUAGUGACGGUAAUGGGUAAAGAAGCACCGGCUAACUACGUG